UACGAAGGGUGCAAGCGUUACUCGGAAUUACUGGGCGUAAAGCGUGCGUAGGUGGUUGUUUAAGUCUGUUGUGAAAGCCCUGGGCUCAACCUGGGAAUUGCAGUGGAUACUGGGCGACUAGAGUGUGGUAGAGGGUAGUGGAAUUCCCGGUGUAGCAGUGAAAUGCGUAGAGAUCGGGAAGGAACAUCCAUGGCGAAGGCAGCUACCUGGACCAACACUGACAC
rnacentral:rRNA from 1 species